GUUCAGUUGACUUCCUGUUGUCUAAAAGAUGUAGGACUCUUAGUUCCUUCUCCAGGACCAUGUCUGUCUGCAUACUGUCAUGCUACCCAUCAAGAUUACAAUGGAUUGAACCUCUGAAAUGGUGAUUACAGCUAAGAAACUGCCUUGAAUAUCAGAAGAGACUUUAGACUUUGAAAUAAGUUCGAGGCUGUGAUAGACAGUGGGGACUUUUGAAGUUGGACUGAAUGUAUUUUUGCAUUAUGAUAUGGCAUAAUGGGGGCCAGGGGGUGGAAUGUGGUGGUUUGAAAGAAAAUGUCCCCCAAGGAGUAGCACUAAUGGGAGCUUGGCCUUGUUGGAGGAAGUGCCUCACUGUGGGGAUGGGUUUUGAGGUCUCUUUUGUGUAAGCGUCCCUUGAUAUUACUGCUCAGUCGACUUCCUGUUGCCUGAAAGACAUAGGACUCUCAGCUCCAGCACCACAUCUGCCUGCACGCUGCCGUGCUCCUUACUGUGACGACAAUGGACUAAACCUCUGAAACUGCAAGUGAGCCUCCCCAAUUAAUGUGUUCUUUAUAAGAGUUGCAGUGGCCAUGGCGUCUCUUCACAGCAAUAAAAACCCUAAGACAGAGGCCACGUGGGUGCUAAGAAUAGAGCCUGGGUGUCCUGCAAGAGCAGCAAGUGCUCUUGACCACUAAACCAUCUCCCCAGUGUAACGUGAGUCUUCCUGCCCACUGCCUGGGUCCUGUUGCCGCUUUCAGCCCCAAAUAACACACAGGACACUAUUAGUUAUGAAGCUCUUGGCCGUUUGCUCGGUUUCUUAUUAACUAGCUCUGACUUGAUUAUUAACCCAUAAUUACUAAUAUAUAUUUCAUAAGGACUUAUCUUUUUGAGGAUGCACUCCUGAGCACCUGUUGCUCCCAAGAGAUCACCUGGCGGCAACUCUCCUCACUACAUUUCCCAGAAUCUUCCUAGACUCCUAGUCCCACCUACCUUGCUUCCCUGUUGGCCAACGGUGUUUUAUUGACAUAUAUGCAGAAGGACUUCCCCAUCACCCCAGCCCCAAGUUAUAGCAAUCUAAUUAAAACUGACACCGAAUUAAUUUUCACAGUGUGCCAUUAUAUAUAUAUAUAUAUAUAUAUAUAUAUAUAUAUAUAUUCGAGACAGGGUUUCUCUGUAUUGUUUUGGAGCCUGUCCUGGAACUCGCUCAGUAGACCAGGCUUGGUUUUGAACUCACAGAGAUCCACCUGCCUCUGCCUCCCGAGUGCUGGGAUUAAAGGCGUGCACCACCACUGCCCAGUGCCAUGCUAUAUUCUAUACAGCUCUGUCCACUCCUGCAGACAACCGACAUCACAAACCACAUCUUUGUAUAUUGUGUGCUCAACGAUGUAGGUGUGCACCGUUUUAUUCACUGGUGUUUCUGAUCAUAAAGUAAAUAAAAAUGGAAUUUUAAAAAUGG